AGAGAAGUAUGGGUCUAAUGUGAUUUUACCUCUCUUAAACUUUAAGGAAACUAGUUUCAAUGUUAUUGGGAGAACCAUUGCUAACAAUCAACAGCAUAUGAUUAUGUAAACAAUGAUACAUAU